rnacentral:rRNA from 1 species
UACGUAGGGUGCAAGCGUUAAUCGGAAUUACUGGGCGUAAAGCGUGCGCAGGCGGUUCGCUAAGACAGAUGUGAAAUUCCCGGGCUUAACCUGGGAACUGCAUUUGUGACUGGCGGGCUAGAGUAUGGCAGAGGGGGGUAGAAUUCCACGUGUAGCAGUGAAAUGCGUAGAGAUGUGGAGGAAUACCGAUGGCGAAGGCAGCCCCCUGGGCCAAUACUGACGCUCAUGCACGAAAGCGUGGGGAGCAAACAGG